rnacentral:rRNA from 1 species
UACGUAGGGUGCAAGCGUUGUCCGGAAUUAUUGGGCGUAAAGAGCUCGUAGGCGGUCUGUCGCGUCUGCUGUGAAAACUCGGGGCCUAACCCCGGGCCUGCAGUGGGUACGGGCAGACUAGAGUACGGUAGGGGAGCGGGGAAUUCCUAGUGUAGCGGUGAAAUGCGCAGAUAUUAGGAGGAACACCGGUGGCGAAGGCGCCGCUCUGGGCCGAAACUGACGCUGAGGAGCGAAAGCAUGGGUAGCAAACAGG